CAUGUUUAAAAGGAAAUAGCUUGCUUUUAAUUCAAAUUUCAAAAGUACACAAUUCAUUACUUGCUAACAAAAGUGAUCAAAAACACAUAAAUAAGAAUAACAAGAAGCAAUAUGUUCAGAAAGUACAUAAAUAACAACCACUUAAUGCGGAUUGAAAUUAUCAAUCUCAUAAUCCUCAUCCACUAAUCUUCUCAUUGCAGGUCUCACAGCUACUGGUUCCCUUUGUCAAUUUUGGUUGUGACGGGUGGUUUCUUGGCAUAUGAGCUUGUUGGUUUCUUGCCACUGGAUCUUGUUGACUGCUAGCCAUAUGAGCUUGUUUCUUCUUUGCCACAAGAACUUGUUUCUUGUUUGCAACCAUAACUUUAUCUGGUGAGGUGAUUUUCCUU
rnacentral:lncRNA from 1 species